rnacentral:lncRNA from 1 species
UGCUGCGGCGCCGCCGCCGGCGGCUGCUGUUGAGGAUGAUGCCCUCCAGGUCCAUCCAUUUGCCUAAGAACCAAGAAGUCUUAGUAACUGUUUUGGUGAUUGGGGCCAGCAGAAACCUUCUUCCUGACAUUCUUCUAAGUGACAGUUCCUGCUUCCAGCUUCCUGCCAAGACUUCCUUUAAUGAUGGACUGUAACCUGAAGCUCAAACCCCAAAUGACGUUCCUGCUCUGUUGCCUGUACCCUGGAUUGCUCACCACCUGAGCCUACCUGCCCUUGUGGGGUUGGAGGUGAGGUGUCACAAAGUCAUCAGCACAGACUCUGGAAGCAGAGAAGGCUCCUGGAAGGAACUGUCCAGCUGGGGACUACACCUUCUUUUUGUUUUGGUACAGAGAGAGACCAGCUGACUGGUUUUCAGAAUGAAAAGAGUCUAGCUGGCAGCCCAAAGAGGUGACUGAGAACUGGCUGUGUAAGAACAGCAGAGCUUCCUGGGAGAAACAGGCUUCAUUUUUUCUGCUUUAAAAAAAAAAUAUGCGAGAACCCCAAUGUUCUGGCAAAAUUAAGGAAACCUGCAAUCAGUUGCUUGGAAAAAAAAAACCCAGCAAACCUGUCUGUAGUAAAUUAUAUAUGGGGACAAAGGCCCACUGACUCCCGAGGCUGCCUCCCUCCCUGCACCCCACCCUGCUGCCAUCCUUAAGGUAAUGUCCUUCAGACUGCACAAGCUGCAUUUCAGAGACCUGCAGUCCAAACUUGACACCUAAGAACUGUGUCCCUUUAGGUAAGUCUCAUGGCUUUUUGUCUGAGUUUCAUGAUAUUAUUUGUAACAUGACAUUAAAUCUGUUUCUUCAUAUUGAUAUGAGAAAUAAACACAGUUUCAUCAGC